CAUUGGCAUCUUCUCAGCAUUCUCUUCCUAGUAUUGUGGAAAAUACCUGCCCUGCUUCCAAUGGGAGACUCUCUGUUCCAGGCAGCAUGAUGUACUGGAAAGAAUAUGAGAUUCUGGGAUUAGGAGAACUGGGCAUGAGUCCCAGACUCUGCGCUACCAGCUGUAUGACCUUGGGGAAGUCACUUCAUCCAUCUGAGUCUUGUUUUUCUUGCCUGUCAAAUGAAAAAUAAAAGACCCCAAACUUUCAGGACUGGAAGCUCUGAGAACCCUGUUUUUGAGAUGCCUCUGCUUUUGGCUUUCUGGGCACAAUUUAUGUUCUGUCAAUGAAAUGAACUCAUGCAAGAUCCCGAAGGUAAUGUAUAGGCUCAAUGAAACCAUGUAUGAAAAAAAAGAACUUGUUUGCAAUUA